AAAGUUCCCUUCGGGGAAUAAGUAGAGUGGCGCACGGGUGAGUAACACGUAGGUAAUCUACCUUCGGGUGGGGAAUAACCCAGGGAAACUUGGGCUAACACCGCAUGAUGCAGCGGCACCACAUGGUGACAGUUGUUAAAGCGGGGGAUUUUCGGACCUCGCGCCUGAAGAGGAGCCUGCGGCGGAUUAGCUAGUUGGUGAGGUAACGGCUCACCAAGGUGACGAUCCGUAGCCGGCCUGAGAGGGCGGUCGGCCACACUGACACUGACAUACGGGUCAGACUCCUACGGGAGGCAGCAGUCGGGAAUUUUGGGCAAUGGGCGAAAGCCUGACCCAGCAACGCCGCGUGAAGGAUGAAAUCCCUCGGGAUGUAAACUUCGCAAGAAUGGGAAGAAUUAGUAGGGGUUAAUACCCCCUAUGAUGACGGUACCAUUUGUAAGCUCCGGCUAACUCCGUGCCAGCAGCCGCGGUAAUACGGGGGGAGCAAGCGUUGUUCGGAUUUACUGGGCGUAAAGGGCGCGUAGGCGGCCAGCGCAAGUCAGUUGUGAAAUCUCCGGGCUUAACUCGGAAAGGUCAACUGAUACUGCGCGGCUAGAGUGCGGAAGGGGCAACUGGAAUUCUCGGUGUAGCGGUGAAAUGCGUAGAUAUCGAGAGGAACACCUGCGGCGAAGGCGGGUUGCUGGGCCGACACUGACGCUGAGGCGCGAAAGCCAGGGGAGCGAACGGGAUUAGAUACCCCGGUAGUCCUGGCCUUAAACGAUGGAUGCUUGGUGUCUGGGGUUUUAUAGUCCCCGGGUGCCGCAGCUAACGCG
rnacentral:rRNA from 1 species